rnacentral:rRNA from 1 species
UACAGAGGGUGCAAGCGUUGUUCGGAAUUAUUGGGCGUAAAGGGCGCGUAGGCGGUGCGGUAAGUCUGUAGUGAAAUCUCUGGGCUCAACUCAGAGUCUGCUGCAGAAACUGCCGUGCUUGAGUGUGGGAGAGGUGAGUGGAAUUCCCGGUGUAGCGGUGGAAUGCGUAGAGAUCCGGAAGAACACCGGUGGCGAAGGCGGUCUGCUGGGCAGUUGCUGACACUGAUGCGCGACAGCGUGGGGAGCAAACAGG